AAUCAUUUCGUCGAGCCUGUUCAAGAACUCGGGGCGGAAGUAUUGCUUCAACUCUUCGGUGACCAGGCUCUUGAUCCUGUUGUAGCUGCUGUCCUUCUCGUCGUAGUCGAGAUCGAACCCGAUCCUACGGCCACCCUUUUCAAUCACCGAACUCCCGACGUUUGAGGUCAUGAUCAACAGCGUGUUCUUGAAGUCAACCGUACGGCCUUUACUGUCGGUCAACCUUCCGUCUUCUAAGAUUUGGAGCAUCAUGUUGAAAACGUCCGGGUGGGCCUUUU
rnacentral:lncRNA from 1 species